AACGAACGCUGGCGGCAUGCCUAACACAUGCAAGUCGAGCGAGGGCUUCGGUUCUAUCGGCGGCCGAGGGAGUCACGCGUGGGAAUGGGCACUUCUCUACAGAAUAGCCCUGGGAAACUGGGAGUAAUACCGUAUACGCGCUAUUGGGGAAAGAUUUUUCGAAGAAGGAGCAGCCCUAGUUGCAUUAGGUAGUUGGUAUGGUAAUGGCCUAACAAGCCGAGGAUUCAUAACUGGGUAGAGAGGAUGAUCAGCCACACUGAGACUGAGACGCGGCCCAGACUCCUACGGGAUGCAGCAGUGGGGAAUGGUAGAACACCGCGGGAAUGCUGAAGGACCCAUGCCGGGUGAGUGAUGAAGGCAGUAGGGUUGUAAAGCUUUUUCAGCUGGGAAGAUAAUGACGGUACCAGAAGAAAAAGCCCCGGCUAACUCCGUG
rnacentral:rRNA from 1 species